ensembl:lncRNA
GGGCUCCAAGGAGCAAAGAAUGGCGGCGAGGCGCUGCCGGGAGCAGCAGAAGGCAGCGAGGAGAAGCCGUGAAGCUGCAGAGCGGCGGAGUUGUCUUUUUCCUUCCCAGGCUGGAAUCUUCCUUCCGCCUUGCUGUGCUGUGGGGAGCAGCUGGAGGCGAUUCUCUUGCAUGAGCGAGGGGUGCAGCCUGGUUCCACCCGGCCCUGAGCUCACGGAAGGGCUGGCUGCCCGCAGGGAAGGAGCUCUGCUUGAGGUCUGCUCCUGGGUGGGCUUUUGUGUGCCCUGUUCCUCAGGAAGGGGGUGCCCUGGAGGAGGUGACCCCCACUUGACAUCGGUUGGGUAUUUUAAAGCAGCUGAGAUUAAGGAGACAUGACAAAGUUGUGCAAAUGUUCCUGGACGUUCCUAGUUCUUGAAUUGCCUAAAGGAACACAAGCAAUGCAGAGAAAGAAAGAAAGAACGAAAGAAAAAGAACAACAACACCUGUAUGUCCUGCACAGAACCCAGCUUUAAUAGAGACGAAAAUUAUUGACGUUCCUUUUUCUUCUUCUCUCAGUGACGGAAUUUGCUCUCACCUUCUCUCUCUGCUCUCCUGCUCUCUGCACACGCCUCCCCACUUCUUACAUCUUCAGUUCUUCUGUUGAACUCCCAUCUUCUUCAUCUCUCUCUUUUUUUUUUUUUUUUUUUUUUUUUUUUUACCUUUGGAAACCUUUCCUUGAUGCCCCCUCCCUCCCUUCUCUCUUCUAUCUUUUCUAACCUCUCCUGUCUGCUGUCUUCCUCUCCUCUACUAGAUUUUUUUCCCAUACUCUUCUCUCCCUUUUCUCUGUUAUUUCCCUCCUUAUUCACUCCUCAUCAUUCUGCGUCUAAACUCCUCUGUUGCUCUUCUUAUUCUGUCUCCUCAAUGCUCUUUGUUCUGCAUCUGCACUUCUCUUCUACUACUCUUUCUUCUCUGUAUCCUCUCUCCUCUUUCUUCUGCCUCUGCACUCCUCUCUGCUUUGCUUUGUCCCCCGUAUUCUCACUUGUCUUUCUUCUGACUGCUCUCCUCUUCUGCUCUUUGUUGUUCCCUGUGUCAUCUCUCAUCUUCUGCAUCUGCACCCUUCUGCUGUUCUUUUUCCCGUAUCUUCUCUCCUCCUUCUUCUUACCGCACUCCUCUUCUCUUCUGAUCUUUCUUCCUUGUGCCCUCACACCUCUUCUUCAUCUACACUCCUCUUCUGCUCUUUGUUCUUCUUCACCUGCUCUGUGGCACUGUUCUUCUUUUCACAGCACUGUCCGCUCUUCUCUACUGCUCUGUUCUUUCUCUGCUCUUCCUCUCUUCUCUCUUGCCUCUUUCCUCUCUUUCCACCUCCUGUACUUUUGCUCUACUUUUCAUACUUCUCC